rnacentral:rRNA from 1 species
GGAAUAUUGGUCAAUGGACGCAAGUCUGAACCAGCCAUGCCGCGUGCAGGAUGACGGUCCUAUGGAUUGUAAACUGCUUUUGUACAGGAAGAAACCCUACUUCGUGAAGUAGAUUGACGGUACUGUAAGAAUAAGGAUCGGCUAACUCCGUGCCAGCAGCCGCGGUAAUACGGAGGAUCCAAGCGUUAUCCGGAAUCAUUGGGUUUAAAGGGUCCGUAGGCGGUCUAGCAAGUCAGUGGUGAAAUCUCCCCGCUCAACGGGGAAACGGCCAUUGAUACUACUAGACUUGAAUUAUUAGGAAGUAACUAGAAUAUGUAGUGUAGCGGUGAAAUGCUUAGAUAUUACAUGGAAUACCAAUUGCGAAGGCAGGUUACUACUAAUUGAUUGACGCUGAUGGACGAAAGCGUGGGGAGCGAACAGGAUUAGAUACCCUAG